GGUCCGUUGGCCCAAUGGUAAGGCGUCUGACUACGACAACUGGUAGAUAAUCAGGAGAUUCUGGGUUCGACCCCCAGGCGGACCU
rnacentral:tRNA from 2 species